rnacentral:rRNA from 1 species
UACGGAGGAUCCAAGCGUUAUCCGGAAUCAUUGGGUUUAAAGGGUCCGUAGGCGGUUUGGUAAGUCAGUGGUGAAAGCCCAUCGCUCAACGGUGGAACGGCCAUUGAUACUGCCAGACUUGAAUUAUUAGGAAGUAACUAGAAUAUGUAGUGUAGCGGUGAAAUGCUUAGAGAUUACAUGGAAUACCAAUUGCCGAAGGCAGGUUACUACUAAUGGAUUGACGCUGAUGGACGAAAGCGUGGGUAGCGAACAGG